rnacentral:rRNA from 1 species
GACGAACGCUGGCGGCGUGCCUAAUACAUGCAAGUAGAACGCUGAAGAGAGGAGCUUGCUCUUCUUGGAUGAGUUGCGAACGGGUGAGUAACGCGUAGGUAACCUGCCUUGUAGCGGGGGAUAACUAUUGGAAACGAUAGCUAAUACCGCAUAACAAUGGAUGACACAUGUCAUUUAUUUGAAAGGGGCAAUUGCUCCACUACAAGAUGGACCUGCGUUGUAUUAGCUAGUAGGUGAGGUAAUGGCUCACCUAGGCGACGAUACAUAGCCGACCUGAGAGGGGGAACGGCCAACAUGGGAGUGAGAACAGGCCCAAAACCCCACGGGGAGCAGGAGGAGGGAAAUUUCGGGAAAGGGGGGAACCCUGACCGGGCAACGGCGGGUGGGGGAAGAAGGGUUUCGGAUCGGAAAGCCUUGUUGUAAGUCAAGAAAGGGUGGGAGGGUGGAAAGUUCAACCUGUGACGGGAGGUUACCAGAAAGGGAAGGCUAACUACG